CGAAAAGAGCGGAAAUGAUGGCGACUUUUUAGGGCCGGUGAUUGGCUCCACCUCACUGAAUAAGUGAAGCUGGGAUAACGAGCCACGGGAUAACGUUAUAGCUGGGCGAUUAACGUUAUAUCAUGACGAAACUGUGGAAUCCAUGGAAAGGACACUGCCUCUGAGAGCCAGAGGGCCUCAGGCUACAGCAGAGAAAACAGAGAAGUUCACAGAAUCCACUUCAAAUGAGAACAAUAUGAGGCUUCCAAAACGAUGGGUAGCACACAGGCGUGUAUUGGUACCGUGGGUGGUUUUAGGUUUGCUGGGUUUGAUGAUCGUCUUCCUACCGUGGCUUGAGAAAGGAACAAGCAAACCUCUGGACUUGCACGUCAACCCUGCACAUAAAAAAGUGAGAGUUAAGUAGGGGUGGGCAAUCUGGCCCAAAAAUAGUGUCAAAAAAUCUAUUUAACCUGAAUCAUGAUGUAAAUUGCGAUCUUUUUUUCUCAGUUUUGACAUGCCCUGUAGACCAGCCAGACUUGAAAUAUCCUUUGAAUUUUUUCAUUUGCAUUUGUUUUUAGAUAUUAACACUAUAUAAAAAGCUUAGAGUGCUCUUUUGAUUCUACCAUCUCACACGGCUGAUCCUCCAUUAACAGAGACGAGUAGAAUUACAAGUAUUAGAGUCCCUGUUUUGUCCGCUGUUAACUUGUUGACAGCGCUUUUACCAGAGUUUGUAGCGUGGACAAUCUGGAUUUACAGUGAUGAUUGUAUCUAAAGAAGGGUUAGAGUCCCUAAGUAACUAAAGAGGGGAUAGAGUGGGAGAUGGGGAAUCAAAGGAGUAAAA